ensembl:lincRNA
GUUUCGACGGAGUGGUGUUGUUUAAAGAUCAACAUUUAUUACUUGGACAGAUCACUGAUCGACAUGCGGUUGGCGGGAUGGAGUGCAAGUCCGGUUUCCACCAAUCAUUGGAGGCCGAUAAGCACCGUCGCAGCGUGGGAGCUGCGGGGCCCUGCACUCAAUGAUCGAAUGAAUGAAACAUCCCGGAGAGCUAACAGGGGGCUCCCAGGGCCGCCGCCACCUGCUGUCGUCAGGCUCGCAACUCUCCGGGGUUCACUUGGCGGAACGUGCUCUCAAGUCGUGGAGCAGGGAGCUCGGGCUCGCAGUGCCAGGCGCGCCGGGAGCGCGUCCGACGCUCCGUACCAACAGCCCGUUCCGCACUCCGCGGAGGCACUCAAGCGUGAACCUCCAGGUGCCCCUCCUCUCGGUUGGCGCCGCACGCACGCACGCACGCACGCACGCGCUCCGUGGACACGCGUCUCGUUGAGCCCGGGAGGCGCGGCGGAACCGCUGUUCAUUCAUCGAGCGCAUUGCUUUCCACCGGCCAGGGGAAUCUCGCACUCAUCUUGCUGUACCUGGGGUGCGACGGUCGUCGCGACUUGCAGAGUACUUGCGGUAAGUCCGGAGAUGGUCUGUUGGGGGUGAGGGGCGAUCUUUAACAUGUGUCAUCUUUAAUGGGGUCUUCGCUCCAUGACAUCCGUUGGAGGCCAGCUUAUCCCCCCCCCCCUAUUCCUCCCACAUCAACACCCACCCCUUCCCUCCGUCCGAGCCGUCGACAUACCGAGCAAGCAAUAAAACUUUACCCCUUGUUCUUGUUUGUCACCUGCAGAAGUUCCGAGCGGGAUUUAUUUAUUUUGACGAGAACUUUUCCGCGUCAGUACCAUUCGGAAUUCCCUUUCUGUCGAACCUGAC